CGGAUGAGGCAAUGCUCCUGGUACACAGCAGGCCCCCGCGCCGACAGACCUGCUGGAGCCCAGGGAUGCCAGGCCCGAAGCUGAGGCGGCUGAUGACUUCCCACCCAGGCCUGAGGUAGAUCUGGCCUCGGAAGUGGCCUUAGAGGUGGUGUCGACAGCAGAGCCUGGCGUGUGGUUGGAGGCUGAGGCCCCGGUGGCCCUGGUGGCUCAGCCUCAGCCCCUGCCUGCCACAGCUGGUGUGAAGAGGGAGAGCGUGGGCAUGGAGGUGGCGGUGCUGACCGACGACCCGCUGCCUGUUGUGGACCAGCAGCAGGUGCUGGCCCGUCUGCAGCUGUUGGAGCAGCAGGUUGUGGGUGGAGAGCAGGCCAAGAACAAGGACCUGAAGGAGAAGCACAAGCGGCGCAAGCGCUACGCAGACGAGCGCAGGAAGCAGCUGGUGGCUGCCCUGCAGAACUCGGAUGAGGACAGUGGGGACUGGGUGCUGCUCAAUGUCUACGACUCCAUCCAGGAGGAAGUGCGGGCCAAGAGCAAGCUGCUGGAGAAGAUGCAGAGGAAGCUUCGGGCAGCAGAGGUGGAGAUCAAAGAUCUGCAGUCCGAGUUUCAGCUGGAGAAGAUUGAUUACUUGGCCACCAUCCGCCGGCAGGAGCGUGACUCCAUGCUCUUGCAGCAGCUCCUGGAGCAGGUGCAGCCCCUGAUUCGCAGGGACUGUAACUACAGCAACCUGGAGAAGAUUCGGCGUGAGUCCUGCUGGGACGAAGAUAACGGCUUCUGGAAGAUCCCACAUCCCGUCAUCACAAAAACCAGCCUCCCAGUAGUUUCAACCGGGCCACAGAACAAACCAGCCUGCAAAACCUCUGCAGCAGACAACGGCGAGC
rnacentral:sRNA from 1 species